rnacentral:rRNA from 1 species
UACGGAGGGUGCAAGCGUUGUCCGGAUUUAUUGGGUUUAAAGGGUGCGUAGGCGGGCUAUUAAGUCAGUGGUGAAAGCCCCAAGCUUAACUUGGGAACUGCCAUUGAUACUGAUGGUCUUGAGUACAUUUGAGGUGGGCGGAAUGUGUCAUGUAGCGGUGAAAUGCUUAGAUAUGACACAGAACACCGAUUGCGAAGGCAGCUCACUAAACUGUAACUGACGCUGAGGCACGAAAGCGUGGGGAGCAAACAGG